AUGCUUGGUAGUAGUGUUUUUCCUUUUGUUGUUGGAGGCGACUUUAAUAUCAUUAGGAGGAGUAAAGAUAGGAAUAAAACUAAGAAGCUUCCCAAGUGGUCUUUCUUCUUUAAUUCAAUUAUUGAACAUUGGGGGUUGAAGGAGCUGGAGCUCUCUGGCAGAAAUUUUACUUGGUCAAAUAAUCAAAUUGAUCCUCUCUUUGUUAAGCUGGAUAGGAUUUUAGUUAGCCCUAGCUGGGAGCUGAAGUUUCCCUUAGUUACAGUCAGAACACUAGUUAGAGGUGUUUCUGACCAUGUAGCUUUACUUAUGCAUACUGGUAUUAAACCAAAUGUUUUUAAUAAACCUUUUCGGUUCGAAUUAUGUUGGCUUGCUAGGGAGGACCUUGUAAGCAUAGUUAAUACGGUUUGGAGUACUAAUUUGUGUGGUAAGGAUAAUCUGGCUGUCUGGCAGCAGAAGAUGAGGCUUUUGAGAAGGUGCCUGAAGGGCCGGAAUCUCAAUGUUGAAGGGAUGUAUAAGAAAAGUAGAAAUAGCUUAAUUACUCAGCUAGAUGAUAUUGAUAAAAGAUGUGAGCAAACUGGGUUCUCGGUUGCUGACUAUGAGAGUUAG
rnacentral:rRNA from 1 species